AGCGAAGCUCUUGAUCGAAGCCCGAGUAAACGGCGGCCGUAACUAUAACGGUCCUAAGGUAGCGAAAUUCCUUGUCGGUUAAAUACCGACCUGCAUGAAUGGCGUAACGAGAUGGGAGCUGUCUCAAAGAGGGAUCCAGUGAAAUUGUAGUGGAGGUGAAAAUUCCUCCUACCCGCGGCAAGACGGAGAGACCCCGUGGACCUUUACUACAGCUUGACACUGCUAUUUGGAUAAGAAUGUGCAGGAUAGGUGGGAGGCUUUGAGUAUAUGACGCCAGUUGUAUAUGAGCCAUUGUUGAGAUACCACUCUUUCUUAUUUGGGUAGCUAACCAGCUUGAGUUAUCCUCAAGUGGGACAAUGUCUGGUGGGUAGUUUGACUGGGGCGGUCGCCUCCCAAAUAAUAACGGAGGCUUACAAAGGUUGGCUCAGAACGGUUGGAAAUCGUUCGUAGAGUAUAAAGGUAUAAGCCAGCUUAACUGCAAGACAUACAAGUCAAGCAGAGACGAAAGUCGGUCU
rnacentral:rRNA from 1 species